rnacentral:rRNA from 1 species
CCUACGGGAGGCAGCAGUAGGGAAUCUUCCGCAAUGGACGAAAGUCUGACGGAGCAACGCCGCGUGAGUGAUGAAGGUUUUCGGAUCGUAAAACUCUGUUGUUAGGGAAGAACAAGUACCGUUCGAAUAGGGCGGUACCUUGACGGUACCUAACCAGAAAGCCACGGCUAACUACGUGCCAGCAGCCGCGGUAAUACGUAGGUGGCAAGCGUUGUCCGGAAUUAUUGGGCGUAAAGCGCGCGCAGGCGGUUUCUUAAGUCUGAUGUGAAAGCCCCCGGCUCAACCGGGGAGGGUCAUUGGAAACUGGGGAACUUGAGUGCAGAAGAGGAGAGUGGAAUUCCACGUGUAGCGGUGAAAUGCGUAGAGAUGUGGAGGAACACCAGUGGCGAAGGCGACUCUCUGGUCUGUAACUGACGCUGAGCGCGAAAGCGUGGGGAGCGAACAGGAUUAGAUACCCUGGUAGUC